ACAAACAAAAGCGCCCUAUGGAAGUGGCUAUUCUUACGGUCCCGUAGGAAUAGCCUCGCAGGCUAUUCUUACGGCUCUCCGUAAGAAUAGUGAAAAGCCCGCAGGUGACUAUUCCUACGGCUCUACCGUACGAAUUAUGGAAAGUUCGCAGGUGGUUAUUGAUUUCCCCUAGUAUCACACAUUUUUGUCAUUUUUGUUACAUUUUAUUGCUUCCAUUUUUAAUACAUAAACAAUUUUAAAACAAUGAAUUUAUCGUAAGUGUAACAUAUUUAUGAACUGAAAUUUGUCUUCUAAAUAAAUCGGAAAACGAUUGUUGGUUGUACAGAUGUAGAUCUAAAUACAUACGUUAUUAAUAUUAAAACACUUAAAAUAUUGACCAAGUGUUUUUGUUCCGUUUUUGUACAGUUUUUGUACCGGUUUAGUACGGAAUUUUAACUUUAAUUUUGUAAGAGUUGUGUCCCUUGGUAUAAGUACGCCAUUUGUAUAGGAAAUGUCGCGUCAUGCGAAAGGCAAUUUUGCUCCGGCAAAUUGUAAAUUUAUAGGCCUCCCUAGGUUCCCCACAGUCUUUUUACCUUGCCUCUCUGGAGGGAUGUAAUCGAUGAAUAAAAUACUAGCAAACUCAAAGGUCGUUACAGU
rnacentral:lncRNA from 1 species